CGCCAGCAGCCCACGCGGAAUUCACCCCCGCGGAGUCCAGCAUGCGCCUUUGGAAGUCCACUGCGUGGGGAUUUCCAGCCCGGGUGAGCCCAAUAUCCCCGCGGAAUCGUGCCUGGCCUACACACAUCGGGGAGCAGUCCCCGUCCUCAUCUCGCUCGCUCGACUCCCCGAGGUCGAGCGGGAGUGCCGCCGCCGCCUGAUCUCCUCCUCCAAGGCUCCAACCUCGCGACGACAGCCUCCUCUGCCGGUGUCCCUGCAGUCGCCUCCUCCCUUCGCAGAAAAUUCGCGGCCAGAAGCUUCACGGCAAGAAGCAGAGGAGAUCCUGGCGUGGAUUCAACAUAGGGAGUGGGCGAUCUGAUACGCAGGCUUCUCUCCAUCCUCCCUGACCCUCCCAGAUCGGCGCUUGUAACAGAGCACUUGCUGCAAACAGUGCAGAGAAAGAGGAGCACUUGCCCACCGUGACCGCUACAAUUAUGAUAGCUGAAGAUUGUAUGUGCACAAACAGGAGGAGCUUUGUGCCUUCGCGAUGUUCAGUUGAUGACUUUAUUUAGCUCUGAACUAAAUAAAGAUGGUCUGUGAUACCGCAUAGUUCCCUAGUUCUCUAAUCUGCACAUUUGUUGUACUCGUAUCUGAGAUGCACUCAUAUGCAUCGGCCUUGGAAUACCCCAAGAAUGUUCAGUUAUUCAUUUAUCUCCUGAUAAAAUGUUGCUUACAUGGACCAGUAA